AGACCCAGGAACGUCCAAGUUCUUCUCCAAAUUUGCAAUUUGUUUUGCCGGGUC
rnacentral:tRNA from 1 species